CACAGCUGGGGCCUCACCAACACCUCAUAUUUCACCGGUGGCAGUGAUGUGGUAGCAACACUUCUGGCUGGCCUGGGAGUGGGAGAUACUGACUGUGGAGAGGAAGGCAAUGAAGCUUGAUGGUGAUUGAUGAAGAUAAUCAAGAAGAACAAAUUAAAUGAAGAGGACUUCCAGAGAGAAUAAAUUCACUUAAGAACCUGGAGAGAGGAACUCUUGUCGUUCACAUGGAAGAUUCUGUCUAAGGUCUGCAAUUGGAGAUCAGAUGUGACAUUCUGCAUGGUACAUUAUAGUCUAGAUGUCUAUUCUCCUGAAGACCAUAUCUCUUCUGAACGCAGCAAAAGUAGGAGGCACCUGUGGGAAUGGAAGACUGAAGAACAGUCAGCCUGAAAAACAAUAGGAAGAGGGGAGCUCCAGCCCAAAU